GGCCCAUCAUGAACAGCAGCUACCAGAGGAGCUGGCCUGUUAAGGCCUGUUUAGGCCUGUUUACCUAGUAGAAGCAACUCCUUUCCUCGGUGCCUGGACCACCCGCCUCUUGGAGAUGACCCCGGCCUCAGCCUCUUCCCAUGGCAAUGUGACUCAGCGCUCUUUGGAACAGCUGUCACAGCUGCGUGUCACUGAGUAAGGAGGGAACAGCAAAAAGCCACAACACCUCCAGUGUAGAGCUCAUCUGCAAGACAGAGAAGGCAGACUUGCAUUCUCUGACACUGUAAAAGAACGUUAAACUCAGUUAUAUGAAUUCCAGGCAAAACGUAAAAGAACCUCUCUCCUCUCCUUAUGUCCUUUCCCAGAGGUUUUGUCAGCACUUUUCUGCCCCACAUGUUCUUGGAGGCUGUUUCUAACAGCUGUGUGCCCAGUGCCUGUCUGCCUGUGUUCAGCAACAAGAAUUUAGGCGUUUAGGGAUUUUUAAAAGUUAGAAACACACUCUCUUAAGAACUUAACCAAACCGAGGUAGAAGCCAUGGGGGAAAUUUUCAGGAUCUAUAUUUUAGUUUUAAUUGCCCAAAUCCCUUCAGGGAGCUUCACAUACCAAUUAGUGACCAUUUUAGUGGUAAUGAGGAAGGAAGAAUCAAGUACAAAAAAACAAAGUUUGCUGGAAAAUUGAUGUCUGGCACAGUUUGAAAAAAUGUGAUAAACAAGAUAACAAGCAACAGGAGCAGAAGUUCGUUUUUGACAGAUGCAGCCUUUAGAUUAGUAUGACAUAAUUAUUUUCUUUAUGAUGGAAGCAAAUGUAACUUUGCAUUUUGUAGCUGAUAGUGGACAAUCCACUGGUUGUGCAGAGAUGGGCAAAUACCAUAAAUUGCUAUGAAAUGUUAGAAAUUCUCUCUGGGCCAGUCCAGUCAGCAUGUAUCAAGGUAUUCAUUUGGAAAAAAACAACACAUUUUGGGCAGCAGUGACCUCUCUGAAGACCUCCUCUAAAAGCUGCCAGUGUUGAUUUGGAUUUCGUGGAAUAAUAGAAAAUGUUACGCUGUUUUUACAAGCCUUCCCAUUAUUUUGGUUGGUAUGGGAAUGAGUAUUAAUACAAGCUCUUCCAUAUACUUUCUUGGAACGAAUGAUCCCUAAUACUGACUUUCAACCUGGGAAAACCUAUUAGCACUUUGCCUAGCACCUAGAGCUUUUCUAAUCUUAACUUUUUGACUGUAAAUUUUCUUUCAGCUUUUCAUGUCAUGGCUUUCUGUCA
ensembl:lncRNA